GUGUAGAGGCGCAGUAUUUAUCAGUAACUGUUUUUUUGUGCGGCAAUGCAGGGACAGCGAAAGGAACUACUGCCGAAGAAGAUGUUUUUUGCCGAAAGCAGCUUCUGGGACGGCGCAUAAAAUGUGUCGUACUGCCACCGUAGGUGGAGAGCUAUCGC
rnacentral:ncRNA from 1 species